ACCAUAGGAGCCUAAAAAAGCGGAUGCAAUCCAAUUACCGGCCGCACCGCCGACCCUCAGCCUUCCGCUAUUUCACCAGGAUCCGAUUCCAUCUACCGCCAUCGGAAGCCCUUCUCUUCCACUCUUGCUUCCCUGAUCCACGACGCUGUCAUCAUCUCCUGAUGGGAUUAUCGCCAGGGUUUUCAUUCCCCAGUUUCAUUUGCUUAUUAUAUCUACAGGAUAAUCAACUUACUCAACCAGUAAACUCUGGAGUUGAUUCAUGGUAAUAAUAUCAAGGAUUUUUUAUAGCGGAGAGUCAACAAAACAUAGACAUCAUUUAGCCAUAAUAGUUACAUGCGGAGUUAUGUUUGUGGUUGAUGGAUUUGCAGCACUUAUUUAUUAUUAUGACUCCCUGGGUUCUGUGGUAACAUUGCAUGUGGAUAAGUGGAUUGAUUUGUGCUGACUGGAUUCCUUCUCCAAAUAGAUUUUAAUGAUAUCUUUUUUGUUGUAUUUGAGU